rnacentral:other from 1 species
AAUUCCCUGCUGUGUGCGUGAUGAUAUGGCGUUUCAUAUGAGCCAACGUAUGAACGAAAGGGAAUCCGGUCUCUGGAUGUGGCAUAUACGCCUCAUGACGAGGACAUAUAAAACAUUCAGGAGGAUACCCACCUGCUGAGGGCAGGUUCAUUGAGGCCAUGGACACGGCACGGUGGGGAUGUA